rnacentral:rRNA from 1 species
AACCUUUACACUGCACGACAGUGCGAUAGGGGGACUCCGAGUGCGAGGGCAUACAGUCCUCGCUUUUCUGUACCGUAAGGUGGUACAGGAAUAAGUGCUGGGCAAGACCGGUGCCAGCCGCCGCGGUAAUACCGGCAGCACGAGUGAUGGCCGAUAUUAUUGGGCCUAAAGCGUCCGUAGCCGGCCAGACAAGUCCGUUGGGAAAUCGACGUGCCUAACACGUCGGCGUCCAGCGGAAACUGUCUGGCUUGGGGCCGGAAGACUCGAGGGGUACGUCCGGGGUAGGAGUGGAAUCCCGUAAUCCUGGACGGACCGCCGAUGGCGAAAGCACCUCGAGAGGACGGACCCGACGGUGAGGGACGAAAGCUAGGGUCUCGAACCGGAUUAGAUACCCGGGUAGUCCUAGCCGUAAACAAUGCUCGCUAGGUGUGGCGCAGGCUACGAGCCUGCGCUGUGCCGUAGGGAAGCCGUGAAGCGAGCCGCCUGGGAAGUACGUCCGCAAGGAUGAAACUUAA